rnacentral:rRNA from 1 species
UUCAUGGAGAGUUUGAUCCUGGCUCAGGACGAACGCUGGCGGCGUGCCUAAUACAUGCAAGUCGAGCGGACAGAUGGGAGCUUGCUCCCUGAUGUUAGCGGCGGACGGGUGAGUAACACGUGGGUAACCUGCCUGUAAGACUGGGAUAACUCCGGGAAACCGGGGCUAAUACCGGAUGCUUGAUUGAACCGCAUGGUUCAAUUAUAAAAGGUGGCUUUUAGCUACCACUUACAGAUGGACCCGCGGCGCAUUAGCUAGUUGGUGAGGUAACGGCUCACCAAGGCAACGAUGCGUAGCCGACC